CUUUGAUUUACAUUGUUCUACUCGCAUAUAUUGAGAGCAAUUUUUGCACCAUAUUCCGAGUGAUUUAUUUGUUGAGUGCAAUAACUGGUGAGAUUUGAGUCGAAGCAUGUUUCAGAAAGAGAUUUGGGUUAUAUUUCACUUUAAGGCUAAGGUUGUGUUUGUGUUGGUUGAACUUUUUUCACACACUCCAAAUUUUGAAUGUCAUGCAAUAUCUUUACUUGCUGCUAGUCUUUUGAACUUUGAUUGAUUAUCUUGUUGAGGUUGUGAAAUUCAUGACUGGUUCUUUAACCUUGGCAUGAGAAUGAAAGAAGUCGUUUUAGUAAAGAAAUUUUUGGAUGUUUGUGGGUAACAUCUUUGGAAACACGAGACUUUAACUCGUCCAUGAGAGGUAAUCUAUUGGAUUAAGGGCUUGUUGCAUGUGCUAAAUUCAAUCGUGAUUUCUUGCGGAAGUGGUUUAGAGUAGUUGCUUUUAUUUUUCUUUUUGAUUUUAUUUUAGUCGCCUUAGUUGCUAGGUUCUAAAAUUAAAGCUGGUUGGGAGGUGUGAUGAAUGCUUAAACUUACGUAGUUAUUCUAGGAAUUUUGGAUAUUAUAUUCAUUCUCUCAAUUUAUAUUUAAUUGUGAUUUAAUGUAUUUAAUUUAAAUUUUUAGAAAAACUACACUUGAGCCAUCAACAAUAUAAAUUGCUCAACCAGGCCCGUAAGACUCGGUUUGCUUUGAAAUCAUCUCAUAACAUCCACAGAAUCUCUAUCAAAGAUAAUAGCAAGAACACUAGAUCUGAUCGCAAUGUUGUCAAGGGUGCUUGGGCUGCUCGAAUUCAGCGCAACAAGAUGUUUUAUUCAGGAAAUUCGUCUAUUUUUUCUUUAUUUUGGAGAGGUGGUUCUACAUGAUGCUGAUCGCAAUAGGAGGACCUUCAUUCAUUCAUGUUUGAGCCGUGAAUUUUUAGACCGUGUUGUUGCUGCUACACUGACUUUUGAAAUCUUAACAAGAGAAAACUUCUAACUAAUUUCCCGACAUUACUCCCUCAGAUCAGAAAAAUCGUUUCUAAGUGUGCUUCUAGCAUUGAUGUCUCUUGGAUCAUUUGUUCAGCUUAUUUCCAUCUCUCGUUGACUUACCAA